rnacentral:lncRNA from 1 species
CCUCUGCGAGAGCGGAGCGCUUCGGUCUUUCUUAUCUUCUUUCAGAAUCCUCUCGCAGAGCGGACGGCGUCACGAGGAAACGGCCCGGGGCCUCGGCCGUCCCGCACAGCGGCAGCGGGGAAGCGCGGCUCGUGCUGAAGUGCGGCGCUGGGCCCCGGAACGAAGAGCGCCAAUAAAUCGGAGGAGCAGCUUUCAGAAAAAGCCGCAGUGCGCUGCCCUCGGGGCUCGGGCCAAAAAGCCUCUUUUCUCCACAGCCGAGCCGGGAGGAAACAAGAGAUCUGCCGUGAGAGUAGAAGAGAAACUGAAGCCUCUCAGAUCAAUCAGCACGUCCCUCAGUCCUCAAACAGAGGAACAAAAAAUCCCCCUGUGUUUAGUGAUGGAUCCUCUUAGUGAGCCUUAAAAGAUAACCUCAUCCUAGGGGAAACUUUUACAUGGUAUAUUCCUACAUAUGUAAUGCUUGCCAAUUUAGUAUUUAAGAUCUCAAACACACAAAUUCAUAUCACUAAAAUGUGUAUCAAUUAUAUUUUUUUUACCUGUAUAAAUGUGGGAUCCCUCUGUUCUUCCUACCAGUAGGGAAAAUGGAGCAGUCCACAGUUUGUUAAUUCUCAAAUCUUCCUCUAAGACUUCAUCUAAUUUAAUGUGCUGUUGUCCAAAGCUGCUGGGCUUAAAAUACUUGCACAAUUCCUUUAAGGGAUGUUCCCAAGGAGAUAUCUGAGGUAAUAGAUAGAUGAGAAAUGUAUUCACUGUAUGCCUAUUUACAGAAAUAUUAUUAGCUAAAUAAACUCUCACAUUAGUAGCUUUCUGUGUUUUUU